GAUGAACGCUGGCGGCGUGCCUAAUACAUGCAAGUCGAGCGAACAGACGAGGAGCUUGCUCCUCUGACGUUAGCGGCGGACGGGUGAGUAACACGUGGAUAACCUACCUAUAGGACUGGGAUAACUUCGGGAAACCGGAGCUAAUACCGGAUAAUAUAUUGAACCGCAUGGUUCAAUAGUGAAAGACGGUUUUGCUGUCACUUAUAGAUGGAUCCGCGCCGCAUUAGCUAGUUGGUAAGGUAACGGCUUACCAAGGCAACGAUGCGUAGCCGACCUGAGAGGGUGACGGGCACCAGUAGAACAGAAACCCGGUCAAGACCCCGCCGGGAGGAGGAAGGAGGGAAUUUUCCGCAAGGGGCAAAAGCCGGACGGAGCAACCCCGCGUGAGUGAGAAAGGUGUUCGUAUCUAAAAACUUUUUUAUGGGGGAAAAAAAAAUGUGAAAGUAACUAUGCCCUUCUGGAGGGACCCUAAUCAGAAAGCCACGACAAACCAGGUC
rnacentral:rRNA from 1 species